rnacentral:rRNA from 1 species
UACGUAGGGCGCAAGCGUUAUCCGGAAUUAUUGGGCGUAAAGAGCUCGUAGGCGGUUUGUCGCGUCUGCCGUGAAAGUCCGGGGCUCAACUCCGGAUCUGCAGUGGGUACGGGCAGACUAGAGUGUGGUAGGGGAGACUGGAAUUCCUGGUGUAGCGGUGAAAUGCGCAGAUAUCAGGAGGAACACCGAUGGCGAAGGCAGGUCUCUGGGCCACUACUGAUGCUGAGAAGCGAAAGCAUGGGGAGCGAACAGG